CAGAAGUCGAGCACCGCCUUCCAGGACGC
rnacentral:sRNA from 1 species